rnacentral:pre_miRNA from 1 species
UAAGUAGUAUCCAUUAAAGGGUUGUUCUCAACAUGCAAAUCAACCUUUUGAUGUACUACUUUAA